UACGUAGGCAGCGAGCGUUGUUCGGAGUUACUGGGCGUAAAGGGUGUGUAGGCGGUUUUCUAAGUUUGGUGUGAAAUCUCCCGGCUUAACCGGGAGGGUGCGCCGAAAACUGGGAGACUAGAGUGCGGGAUGGGAGAGUAGAAUUCCUGGUGUAGCGGUGAAAUGCGCAGAUAUCAGGAGGAACACCGGUGGCGAAGGCGGGUCUCUGGGCCGAUACUGACGCUGAGGAGCGAAAGCGUGGGGAGCAAACAGG
rnacentral:rRNA from 1 species